UACCCAUUCCCCCAAAUUCACCCUAUAUGUCUCAUGUUCAGAAAUUUCAAGCAAUUGGAAACAGAAAGUAAUGAAGAAGGGGCAAACCUGAUUUGAGAUCUGUUGAAUUUGAAAUGCACAGGAGGUUAGGGAUGCAAUGCAAUGCUAGGGUUUUAAUUGGAAACAGAAAGUAAUGAAGAAGGGGCAAACCUGAUUUGAGAUCUGUUGAAUUUGAAAUGCACAGGAGGUUAGGGAUGCAAUGCAAUGCUAGGGUUUAGAGUUGUUAGAUGA
rnacentral:lncRNA from 1 species